CCCUACGGGGCGCAGCAGUAGGGAAUUUUCGUCAAUGGGGGGAACCCUGAACGAGCAAUGCCGCGUGAGUGAAGAAGGCCUUCUGGUCGUAAAGCUCUGUUGUAAGAGAAAAACGAUGGAUAGAGGGAAUGCUAUGCAAGUGAUGGUAUCUUACGAGAAAGCCACGGCUAACUACGUGCCAGCAGCCGCGGUAAUACGUAGGUGGCGAGCGUUAUCCGGAAUGAUUGGGCGUAAAGGGUGCGCAGGCGGUCUGUUAAGUCAGCGGUCAAAGCCCGGGGCUCAACCCCGGCCCGCCGUUGAAACUG
rnacentral:rRNA from 1 species